rnacentral:rRNA from 1 species
UACAGAGGUCCCAAGCGUUGUUCGGAAUUAUUGGGCGUAAAGGGUGCGUAGGCGGUAGGAUAAGUUAGAUGUGAAAUGUCGGCGCUUAACGUCGAACCUGCAUUUAAGACUGUCCUGCUUGAGCACUAGAGAGGAGUCUGGAAUUUACGGUGUAGCAGUGAAAUGCGUAGAUAUCUGGAGGAAUACCGGUGGCGAAGGCGGCAUCCUGGACCGGCAUUGACGCUGAUGAGCGAAAGCUAGGGGAGCAAACGGG